AAACGUGGCCCAUUACUUGGCGCCUGGCAUUCAAAAGGCACAUCUUUUUUUAUUUAGAUGACGCAACAGAAUAAGUAACAAUUCGCGAUCAAUGACCAACGGAUUCGCCACGAAGCCCAAGGAGUGGCCGAGGAACAUGUUGAUCCGCCGACAAUAGCUUUUCAUGGCACAGGCUCCGCAGAUGUUCAAGGCUCGGCUGAUGAAGUACCCUCGACCAGUGGCCAUGACAUGGAAAGCCAACAUCGCAACAGAAGUGCACAUUCCAAAGGUUCCCAUGGAGAAGACACAAUCACGCCUUUGUG